CCUACGGGUGGCUGCAGUGGGGAAUAUUGCACAAUGGGGGAAACCCUGAUGCAGCGACGCCGCGUGAGUGAAGAAGUAAUUCGUUAUGUAAAGCUCUCUCAGCAGGGAAGAAAAUGACGGUACCUGAGUAAGAAGCCCCGGCUAACUACGUACCAGAAGCCGCGGUAAUACGUAGGGGGCAAGCGUUAUCCGGAUUUACUGGGUGUAAAGGGAGCGUAGACGGCAGUGCAGGUCUGGCGUGAAAGGCGGGGGCUAAACCCCCGGACUGCUCUGGAAACUGUACGGCUGGAGUGCAGGAGGGGUGAGUGGAAUUCCUGGUGUAGCGGUGAAAUGCGUAGAUAGUAGGAGGAACACCAGUGGCGAAGGCGGGUUACUGGACUGUAACUGACGUUGAGGAUCGAAAGCAUGGGGAGCAAACAGGAUUAGAUACCCUAGUAGUC
rnacentral:rRNA from 1 species